rnacentral:lncRNA from 1 species
GAAAAGGGAGCUAUGUCCACAGUCCUGGAAGGAGCCCGAGGUUAGGGACAUUUCCACUGAGGUGUCUUACAGACAGACACUGUGGAACUCUCAACAGUUUCAGGGUUUUUUGUUUGUUGUCUGGCUGGUUUGAAGAAUGGAUCUCACUCUAGCCUGGGCUGACUUGAAACUCCAGAUCCUUCUGUCUUUUCCUCCAAAGGCUGGUGUUACAGAUAUGCACUUCAACAACCUGUAUCACUGACGAUUCUAAAUCCAGACACGACUGGGAUGGGUGGGCAUUUGAAGGUAAACGUAAGGGUAUGUCUUUAUGCCGUUUCAUCAGAUAGUUUAUUUAAAUAGAUUUCCUUUACACAUGUCUGCACGGGACCCUUCUUUUGCUUUCUGGCCAGGGUCCUACAAUUGAGAGGGCCGGGCUUGUUGAAACUCACUCCCGGAAGCUUAUUAUUAUAAAAACAGAAAUUAAGCAAGUGGAGUUUUAAAAGCCCUUUGGGCCUCGCUGUGCCUUUUGCCACGCUCUCCCUCGCUGCUGGUAAACAUUUCAUAAGCCAAAUUGGCACGGGGUUGAUUCAGCUCUGGGAACAGCUAGCUUCUGCCAAGCUUCUACUUCUGAGCCAGACGUCGUGACUGGAGAUGGCCUGACCUGAUUCGAGGGCCACCAGUCCCUUCCAUACUUCGGAAUGGGCAUGUCACCACCUCAACUCUGUGCGGAUUGGGCCUCAUGGUUCUUGUGCGUGAUCGUCCCCUUGGCUCACCUCGAGCUACAGAAACCAAGGUGUUGAAUUCAACUUACCAAACCUUGGCUCUGCCUAGUUGGCCAAAGUUGGUAUUUUUUUGAAAGGUGAAUAUGAAGCCACCCUGAGUCUGUCUGUCCCUCCAUUUCCUCUAUCUUGUUUUGUCUUCCUCCUUCCCUCUAAGCCAGGAAGGUACAGGAAAACCAAACCAAAAUGAAACAAAACUGGUAAAUGGACAUUUCUUCCAUCCUGGGUAAAUAAAGAAGGCAUGAUUUAUACGAAGGAAGCAGAUUGAUAUACCCGGAGCUGGGGCCUCUGCGGUCAGGUCACCUUGUUUCUAAGGGGGUCUGUGUCCUUUCACAAGUCCAGAGGUUUCUCUGAGCGCUUUCUUUGUCAUUGGUAACCAGGCUGAGUGGACAACCCUCUGAUCUUUGAUCUUGCAGCCUUGACUCUCGGCAUGGGCUGAAUGAAGAAGGCAAAGUACACACUGUCAUGCGAACAUGUUUUAGUCAUGAGAAACAGCAAGGAAGCUUCUCACUAUGCAGAGAGAAGGCUAGGUCACACAGGGCACCCACCACGGACCCAUCUCUGUCCUCAUAGAACUCCUGGGCACUGCAAUGACAAGGAAGCAGCCCAGGAACUUUUGGCUGUGGCCAAGACUGACUCAAUUUUAAAGACGAUUGUCAUGACCAAGGUGACUGAGGAACAGUCGUCACCAGAAGAGUCCUUUAAGUUCUGAAAGUACUAUGAGAGUUUGGGAGUAUGGGUGUUCAGAUGAACAUGGGAAGGACUUCACUGUUACCGGUCCCUGUUGAAAUUCUGUCACAGCCCAGUCUGGCCAAGAUCUCAUUGGACACUUGGUCUUAACUUGAACAUAUGUCACUUGUGGUCACACGGGGGUUACAAACACAGGGUUUUCC